GUCACAACUGACGAGUUCCAAAUAGGACGAAAUGUGCAUCCUGGAC
rnacentral:hammerhead_ribozyme from 1 species